CAUCUCCACUAGUAGAAUCAACUAUGUUAUUUCUCAUAGAGCUUUCUUCACCUCGAUCGCUAGCAUUUAUCAUCAAAUCAUUUAAAAUCUUAUCUCUUAUAUAUUAAACUUUUAUAAAUCUUCCAAAAUCAAUUUCUCCACUCAAUUCAACAAUAGUAGCAAGAUACCCUAGCUAGAUUAGCUCAUACAGCUAAAUUUUGCUGAAAAUUCUACUUACCCAACUAUCUCCAAGCAAAUAUAUAUAAGGAAGAUCAAGUAGCC
rnacentral:lncRNA from 1 species